GCCUUCGUAGCUCAACAGGAUAGAGCAGCGGACUUCUAAUCCGCAGGUUGCAGGUUCGAGUCCUGCCGGAGGCGCCA
rnacentral:tRNA from 1 species